rnacentral:lncRNA from 1 species
UAUAAAAAUUAACUGGGUGUAGUGGUGGCAUGCACCUGUAGUUCCAGCUACUCAGGAGGCUGAGGCUCAGGAACACAGCACCCUCAGGCAGUGGCUGUGCCACUGACUGGGUUCCUGAAGUGGGUGCCGCACCCACUUCCUGCCAUGGGCCCCUAUAGCGAGGCCCAGCUCUAUGUCCUGGACCAGGCCUCUGCACUUCAUUUGCAAGUGUGGCACCAUCCCAAACCCAGCUCUGCUUCAGGGACCCUCUCUGCCUGACCAUACUGCUCCCCCACCAGCAGGUGACUCAUCCUGGCCCGAGGGCAGCGGGCUCCAGGGAAUGUCCACCUCCUCCCCAUGCCCUCCUCAUGGCAGCAGCAGGUGAGAGUGGCAACAUGGGGCCAGGGUCCAGAGCAGCAGAGGCUCUGGGCUGUGAGCAGAUCCCACUUGGCCAUGUGAGAGUGGGAGUGGUACAGUCGGUUGCCUCAGGGAUGUGGGCAACAGGGGUCCCCUCACCACCACUGCUGCUGCUACAGCUGCUCCUGCUGCCAUGCUCCCACCUCCCCGCUGUAGCCAGCACAGUGGCAGUGUCCACUCUAGGCAGACU